rnacentral:rRNA from 1 species
AGUGAACGCUGGCGGCAGGCCUAACACAUGCAAGUCGAACGGCAGCACAGAGGAGCUUGCUCCUUGGGUGGCGAGUGGCGGACGGGUGAGGAAUGCAUCGGAAUCUGCCCAAUCGUGGGGGAUAACCUCGGGAAACCGGGACUAAUACCGCAUACGACCUUCGGGUGAAAGCAGGGGAUCGCAAGACCUUGCGCGAUUGGAUGAGCCGAUGCCGGAUUAGCUAGUUGGCGGGGUAAAGGCCCACCAAGGCGACGAUCCGUAGCUGGUCUGAGAGGAUGAUCAGCCACACUGGAACUGAGACACGGUCCAGACUCCUACGGGAGGCAGCAGUGGGGAAUAUUGGACAAUGGGCGCAAGCCUGAUCCAGCCAUGCCGCGUGGGUGAAGAAGGCCUUCGGGUUGUAAAGCCCUUUUGUUGGGAAAGAAAAGCAAUCGGUUAAUACCCGGUUGUUCUGACGGUACCCAAAGAAUAAGCACCGGCUAACUUCGUGCCAGCCGCCGCAGUAA